rnacentral:rRNA from 1 species
GUAGACGCUAUACUCUAAGAUUAACCCAUGCAUGUUUAUUGAAUAUAAAGAAAAGACGAACAGCUGAGUAACUCUUAUUUGAUUUGAUGUAUUAGGAUUCUAACUAUGUUAAAUUAUAGGUAACAAUAAUACAGUAAGAAUAAGAUCUAUCAGUUAGUUGUUAAGGUAAUGGCUUAACAAGACUAUGACGGAUAACGGUAUUACUUUGUAAUAUUCCGGAGAAGGAGCCUGAGAGAUUGCUACUAAGUCUAAGGAUUGCAGCAGGGGCGAAACUUGACCUAUGAUAUUAUAUUGAGGCAGUUAUGAGUAGUAUUUUAUAAUUAUUGUAGUAUUGUAAGUACAUAUUACAAGAUAAAUCGGAGGGCAAAUCGAGUGCCAGCAGCCGCGGUAAUACUUGUUCCGAUAGUGUGUAUGAUGAUUGAUGCAGUUAAAAAGUCUGUAGUUUAUUUUAUAAUAAGCAUUGUAAGGUAUACUGUAUGGUUAGGAGAGAGAUGAAAUGUGAUAACCCUAACUGGAUGAACAGAAGCGAAAGCUGUAUACUUAAAUGUAUUAUUAGAACAAGGGCGUAAGCUAGAGGAUCGAAGAUGAUUAGAUACCAUUGUAGUUCUAGCAGUAAACUAUGUUGAAUCAUAGAUAUAUUUUAAUAUAUAUUUAUGUAGAGAAAUUAAGAUUAUAUUGACUCUGGGGAUAGUAUGAUCGCAAGAUUGAAAAUUAAAGAAAUUGACGGAAGAAUACCACAAGGGUGGAUUGUGCGGCUUAAUUUGACUCAACGCGGGGUAAUUUACCAGGUAUAACAUGGUAUAAUAUUUUAUCAUGGUAGUGGUGCAUGGCCGUUUCCAAUGGAUGCUGUGAAGUAAUGAUUAAUUUCAACAAGAUGUGAGACCCUCAUUUAGACAGAUGUAGUGAUACAUAUGAAGGAGAGGAUUAAAACAGGUCCGUUAUGCCCUAAGAUAAUCUGGGUUGCACGCGCAAUACAAUAAUAUUUGAUAUUAUAAGGGAUAAUAUAAUGUAAGAUAUAUUUGAACACGGAAUUGCUAGUAAAUUUUAUUUAAUAAGUAGAAUUGAAUGAGUCCCUGUUCUUUGUACACACCGCCCGUCGCUAUCUAAGAUGGUAUUAUCUAUGAACAAAUUUAUAAAGUGAAUAGAUAGUACUAGAUCUGAUAU